rnacentral:rRNA from 1 species
GAGUUUGAUCCUGGCUCAGAGCGAACGUUAGCGGCGCGCCUAACACAUGCAAGUCGCACGGAGUAGCAAUACUCAGUGGCGCACGGGUGCGUAGCACGUAGAUAACCUGCCCCGAAGAGGGGGAUAACGUUCCGAAAGGAGCGCUAAUACCGCAUAACGCCGAGAUGGGUUCGCCUGUUUCGGACAAAGGCUGGGACCGAAAGGCCAGUCGUUUUGGGAGGGGUCUGCGGCCCAUCAGCUAGUUGGUAAGGUAAUGGCUUACCAAGGCAAAGACGGGUAGCUGGUCUGAGAGGAUGAUCAGCCACACUGGUACUGGAACACGGACCAGACUCCUACGGGAGGCAGCAGUGGGGAAUCUUGGUCAAUGGGCGCAAGCCUGAACCAGCGACGCCGCGUGAGUGAUGAAGGCCUUCGGUUGUAA